GACGAACGCUGGCGGCGUGCUUAACACAUGCAAGUCGAACGCUGAAGCCGGAGCUUGCUCUGGUGAAUUAGUGGCGAACGGGUGAGUAACACGUGAGUAACCUGCCCUUGACUCUGGGAUAACUGCUAGAAAUGGUAGCUAAUACCGGAUACGACCCUCGGCGGCAUCGCCAGGGGGUGGAAAGAAUUUCGGUCAAGGAUGGACUCGCGGCCUAUCAGCUAGUUGGUGAGGUAACGGCUCACCAAGGCGACGACGGGUAGCCGGCCUGAGAGGGUGACCGGCCACACUGGGACUGAGACACGGCCCAGACUCCUACGGGAGGCAGCAGUGGGGAAUAUUGCACAAUGGGCGCAAGCCUGAUGCAGCAACGCCGCGUGAGGGAUGACGGCCUUCGGGUUGUAAACUCCUUUUGCAAGGGACGAAUGUAAUGACGGUACCUUGCGAAUAAGAGGUUGCUAACUCUGUGCCAGCAGCCGCAGUAA
rnacentral:rRNA from 1 species